AUGCCAGAUCCACCUGAUUAUCUGAUACCAAGACUAAAGAUGCGAUUCCAGAAUGUAGAGAAAGCAAUGGAAUUAUAUAACAGAUACGCCAGACACGCUAGUUUUGGAAUCAGGAAGACGGGAGGGAAUGACAAUCACAAGUAUUUUGUUUGCGCGUUCCAAGGGAAACACACAACUUCUGUUUUAGAAGCUGACAGGAAGCGAAACAAAACAUCGCAGAGGAAAGGCUGCAAUGCAAGAAUGAGGGUGAAGAUGUAGCAGGAUAACACAUGUGUGGUAGUGGGCAUUGAGUACAAUCAUAAUCACCACCUCAUGCAAACUGAUGGCAUGCUCGUAUUCUUGCACUCACACAAGAAUUAUGACCCCACUAUUCUGGAGUACGUAAAGCUCCUGCAGUACCAUGAUGUCAAGCAUACAACAAUCAUGUCCAUGCUAUCCGAAAAUGAAGAUGGAAGCUACUUCCUAAGCAUGACCGGACGAGACCUACUAAACCAGAAAGCCAUGAAUGCAAAGAAAGAUGAUUUGGAUGAUGUAUUGAAACUUGUAUCUUUCUUCAAAGACAUGAAGGCAAUCAAUGAUGAGUUUUUCUAUGACAGCGACAAGUCAAUCAAAAACAUUUUCUGGUCCAAUGCAAGCUGUCGAGGAGCGUAUCAAGACUUUGGCGAUUGUGUAAAUUUCGACACAACUUACAAGACCUUUCAUAUGCCUCUGGGAGUGUUUGUUGGAACAAACCAUCAUUUGCAGUCAACGAUAUUUGUUGUUGCCCUGAUCAAAGACGAAGAUGCAAAGUCAUUCAAGUGGCUGUUCGAUACAUUUGUACGGUGCAUGAACAACAAACACCCAACUUGCAUUCUAACAGACGAGUGCCCGUCGAUGGCGAAAGCUAUACCACAAUCAUUGCCAAACACCGCCCACAAGCUAUGCCGUUGGCACAUCCUGAAGAAGUUCAAGGAAUACCUCACGUUGCUGUACAAAAAGUAUACAAAAUUCAAAGAGGAGUUCACAACAAUCUUAAACUGGCCGUUAAUGCCAACGGAGUUUGAAGCUGCCUGGGCUCAACUCAUGCAAAAGUACAACCUGCAGAACGAACAAUGA
rnacentral:rRNA from 1 species